GAUGAACGCUGGCGGCGUGCCUAAUACAUGCAAGUCGAGCGAACGGACGAGAAGCUUUCUUUUCUGAUGUUAGCGGCGGACGGGUGAGUAACACGUGGAUAACCUACCUAUAAGACUGGGAUAACUUCGGGAAACCGGAGCUAAUACCGGAUAAUAUUUUGAACCGCAUGGUUCAAAAGUGAAAGACGGUCUUGCUGUCACUUAUAGAUGGAUCCGCGCUGGAUUAGCUAGUUGGUAAGGUAACGGCUUACCAAGGCAACGAUGCAUAGCCGACCUGAGAGGGUGAUCAGCCACACUGGAACUGAGACACGGUCCAGACUCCUACGGGAGGCAGCAGUAGGGAAUCUUCGGCAAUGGGCGAAAGCCUGACGGAGCAACGCCGCGUGCGUGAUGAAGGUCUUCGGAUCGUAAAACUCUGUUAUUAGGGAAGAACAUAUGUGUAAGUAACUGUGCACAUCUUGACGGUACCUAAUCAGAAAGCCACGGCUAACUACGUG
rnacentral:rRNA from 1 species